rnacentral:misc_RNA from 1 species
GUCUUGUUCUUUUUUCAAUCCCUUUACGAUUUUUAAUCUUCAAGAUGAUUCAUACACCAAGUUUGAAUAUUGGAAACCUCCAAGGUUUUAUUUUCAUAAUUCUAAAGAAGAAGCAAUUAUGCUUAUUGGUGGUGUCCAUUGUAGAAAAAAAGAAUGUAUUUACAGCUAUUCUCGAUAUAAAAAUGCAUCAGGCAAAUUUUACUACGCCAAUCAAAAGAUUGAAUUACCUCAUUUUGAUAACAAUAUUAUGUUUUAUACAAAGUAUGGGUUUUGUCGAAGGCCAUCAAACACUUAUUACAAUAUAAAACCUUAUACACUACCAAAAAUGCCUGUUCAUAUAGCAGGGGCAGGUGCCGUUGCAUUACCUGACGGAAGAGUCAUAAUUUGUGGAGGACAAAUUGGUACUUAUAAUAAACUUACAAGAAUAGUAGAGGUUAGGGACAAUGUAAAAUGUUGGUACUGGCUUUACAACGAUAUACAAAUUCGUGAACUACAAUUUCAAAAUAAACCACCUUUUCAUUGGUUAGGGUCAAUGAACAAAGUGAUGCAUGGCAUUAGUCUUGAAAAUUAUUCAAAGGAAAAUCAAAUUUAUUCAUAUCUAAAAGAAACAUAUCAAGUGAUUCGUUAUCUGAAGAAGUUUAGAGACGAGAAAAAAAAUUUUUAUCUGGAUGAUUUUUACAGAAAUUAUCAAAAAUAUUUCAUUGAUAUUUUAGCAAAAAUGAGAGCUAUUUCGGAGGAUUAUCACAUAAUUAUUAUUCCUUGGGCUCCACACUCAUCCAUAUAUAUAUCAAAAAUAUUUAAACACAUUACAAAAGCUUUGAAAAUAGGUUCCGAAAUUUUAGAAGGUCAAGUUAUAGAUAAUAAAUUUGGACCCGGGAUUAAUUGGAAAAGAAAUUAUGUUUCAAAAUUCCUUUUUGGUUUUGGUGGGUGCACAACUAUUACAAAAUGCAACAAAAAAGGGGUAGCUAUUCUUUUCGGAAUGGGUGGUCAAGAAAUGCAGAUGAAUAUUUUUCAUUCAAAUAAAUCUGAUUCCAGCAAAUUACCUUCUGAUAUAACCAAGUAUCUGAGAGGAGCUAGGAUUCAAAAAUUCAGAGAGCAUGAUCAGCAAGACUUUAAUUUAAGAUUUCGACCGAUAAAUAAGUAUGGAUUAUUAAUGGCCAACAUAUCUAAUAGUAGAUUUAUGAGUGAAAAUUUAAAACACUACAUGCUGAAUGAAGAUAGAACUUUUUCUACUUGUCAUACACUCCAAGGAAAUGAAUUAUUGAAAAUAAAUAGAAGUAAAGUUGAGAUUAUAAUGAUUGGAGGUGGUUCAAUAACAUUUUUUGACCGUCAAAGACUAAAAAGGAUUGUAGGGAUUCAUAGAAACCAUAACACAAAUGUAUCAUAUUUGCAUCAAAACAUAUAUGCCUAUAGUAUUACGGAAAUAGAUCCUUGGGUCAAGGGGAUGAAAAUUCAGAAUCAUCGUGGAUACUUAUUUGGUCUAAAUUUUCCUCGAAGCAGACAUUCUUCUGAAAUUAUAAGAAUUAAAGCAGAAAUUAAACUUGUUACUAUGAGAUAAAGAAGAAAUACAAUUGACGCAAGAUAAAAAAAAAGACUUUAGUACAAAUGGAUUUGAACGUUUAGUUACAUGCAUGAUUCUUCAAAUUGAGAGCUGUCAUCAAAGACUUGCAUAGUGAGUUGUAAAUACUAAGAACUGUCGGUAUUUUCUGAGAUGUUAAUUAAUACAUACAUGUUUUCUUCUCAAAAAUUGAAAAAUAAAGAGCUUUGGAAAAUAAAUAAAGAACGUUGUCCAUACUUCUGACUACAAUUUCUUUCACGUGAGUAAUACUUCAAAAUUUGCAACUCUAAAUAUGUGUAUUGAUUUAGAUGUAAUCCAUGGUCCUUUAUUCAUUUCUUGCUAAGAAAGGUGGGUAACCACAUCUAUUAUGCGUGUACAUAUAUACGUGUAUAGAUAACACUGGGGAACACAAAUGGAUGAAUGGAUCUUUUCAUUGUUUCGAUGCUGACAUCUCAUUCCAUGGAAGGAGUCUCUCCUUUAUGAAUACUGGUAAUUUUCCUUGGAUGAAUUUUUAUCCCGUCGUCUAUCGUAGGGUUUAGAAUCCAAAUUGGAACAUCUCAUGAGAUGGAUACUCAAGUUAGAAGUAUCUUCCUUCACUUUUCUCUAUCUUCAUUUCGUUCUAACUCUUGGAGAACAUAAUCAUUCGGUUUUAAUCAUUGGGCAAUCAAUAUAAAUUGUGUAAAUAAGUUUGUAAACCUUGUUAACUCAUUUUUACUAAAAAAUGAAUUUAACCAAAUAAAGCAUAUUUUUUC